rnacentral:rRNA from 1 species
AGAGUUUGAUCCUGGCUCAGAUUGAACGCUGGCGGCAUGCUUUACACAUGCAAGUCGAACGGCAGCACAGGGGAGCUUGCUCCCGGGUGGCGAGUGGCGCACGGGGUGAGUAAUACAUCGGAACGUGUCCUGUUGUGGGGGAUAACCUGCUCGAAAGGGUGGCUAAUACCGCAUGAGACCUGAGGGUGAAAGCGGGGGAUCGCAAGACCUCGCGCAAUUGGAGCGGCCGAUGCCCGAUUAGCUAGUUGGUGAGGUAAAGGCUCACCAAGGGCGACCGAUCGGUAGCUGGUCUGAGGAGGACGACCAGCCACCACUGGGACUGAGACACGGCCCAGACUCCUACGGGAGGCAGCA